rnacentral:rRNA from 1 species
CCUGGUUGAUCCUGCCAGUAGUUAUAUGCUUGUCUCAAAGCUUAAGCCAUGCAAGUCUCAGUACGAGCUGACUUAAAGUGAAACCGCAAAAGGCUCAGUAAACCGGUCAUAGUUUACCGGAUAUAUGCCACUCACGUGGAUAACUGUGGUAAUUCUAGAGCUAAUACAUGCAACCAAGUCCCGACCAGCGAUGGAAAGGACGCUUUUAUUGGAUCAAAACCAUUCGCCCGGCUCGCCCGGGCGUCUGCUUGAUGACUCUAGAUAACACCACAGAUCGCACGGUCACAGUACCGGCGACGUAUCCGUCAAAUGUCUGACUUAUCAGCUGUCGAUGGUAGACUCUGUGUCUACCAUGGCGCUCACGGGUAACGGGGAAUCAGGGUUCGAUUCCGGAGAGGGAGCCUGAGAAACGGCUACCACAUCCAAGGAAGGCAGCAGGCACGCAAAUUACCCACUCCCGGCACGGGGAGGUAGUGACAAAAAAAAUAACGAUACGGGACUCAUCCGAGGCCCCGUAAUCGAAUGAGAACACCCUAAAUCCUUUAACGAGGAUCUAUUGGAGGGCAAGUCUGGUGCCAGCAGCCGCGGUAAUUCCAGCUCCAAUAGCGUAUAUUAAAGUUGUUGCGGUUAAAAAGCUCGUAGUUGGUUCUGCGUGCCACGCUGUCGGUUCACCGCCUGUCGGUGCAACUGGCAUGCCGUGGCAUGUCCUGUCGGUGGCCGACGGGCUUCGCGGCGCGCCCCACUCGCUCACGCGUGUGGGUCGACGCGCCGUGUCGUCCUCGUUGGCCGGCUCAAUCCUACCGCGGUGCUCUUAAACGAGUGUCGAGGUAGGCCGACACUGUUUACUUUGAACAAAUAGAGUGCUUCAAGCAGGCUCUGAAAGCAGCCUGAAUAGUGGUGCAUGGAAUAAUGGAACAGGACCUUGGUUCUAUUUUGUUGGUUUCCGGAAUCCAAGGUAAUGAUCAAUAAGGACAGGCGGGGGCAUUCGUAUUGCGACGUUAGAGGGGAAAUUCUUGGAUCGUCGCAAGACGCACUAGAGCGAAAGCAUUUGCCAAGUAUGUCUUAAUUGAUCAAGAACGAAAGUUAGAGGUUCGAACUAGGGCGGUAUCUGAUCGCCCUUCGAACCUCU